rnacentral:rRNA from 1 species
AUUGAACGCUGGCGGCAUGCUUUACACAUGCAAGUCGAACGGCAGCGCGGGCUUCGGCCUGGCGGCGAGUGGCGAACGGGUGAGUAAUGCAUCGGAACGUGCCCAGUAGUGGGGGAUAGCCCGGCGAAAGCCGGAUUAAUACCGCAUACGACCUGAGGGUGAAAGCGGGGGACCGAAAGGCCUCGCGCUAUUGGAGCGGCCGAUGUCGGAUUAGCUAGUUGGUGGGGUAAAGGCUUACCAAGGCGACGAUCCGUAGCUGGUCUGAGAGGACGACCAGCCACACUGGGACUGAGACACGGCCCAGACUCCUACGGGAGGCAGCAGUGGGGAAUUUUGGACAAUGGGGGCAACCCUGAUCCAGCCAGGCCGCGUGCGGGAAGAAGGCCUUCGGGUUGUAAACCGCUUUUGUUCGGGAAGAAAUCCUCUGGGCUAAUACCCCGGGGGGAUGACGGUACCGGAAGAAUAAGCACCGGCUAACUACGU